GGAACUGAUCAGCAGCAAGCAGGCUGACAGCAGCUGGUCACACAGGUGGGCUGGAAGCAAGUGGUCCUGCAGCAGGUGGUCUCACAGCAGGCUGGGCGGCAGCAGGGCUGGCAGCAGCUGGAGCCACAGCUCUGAUUUAGGCAACCAGGCAGGCAGACACUCGUGGGGUGGUAGCAGGUUCUUCUGCAGUACACAGGUGCACAGGAGCUGCUCUGACCACAGCUGGACCCACAGCAUGUGGGCUGGCAGCAGGGUGUGCUACAGCAGGAAGGCUGGCAGCAGCUGGUCACACAGAUGGGCUGGCAGCAGGUGGUCCUACAGCAGGUGUUUUGACAGCAAGUUGGGCGGCAGCAAGGCUGGCAGCAGCUGGACACACAGCAGGCGGGCUGGCAGCAGGGUGUGCUGCUGCAGGUGGUCACAGUGGUGGGCUUCCAGCAGGUGGUCCUGCAGCAGGUGGUCCUGCAGCAUGUAGGCUGACAGCAAGGGGAACAGCAGUGGGUCAUGGUGUCAGGG
rnacentral:lncRNA from 1 species